CUUGUUCUAGAAAUAUUAGUACAUUUGAUAGAUUGUCGAAUGUUUAAUAUUCACUUUUAUUAUUGAGUGUCCGGAUGUGCUCUGCAUCUCAAUAUUUUUGUUCAGUUACAAGGUCAUUUGCCUGUACUUAUUUGCUGGAAAGCAGUUUCCCACCUUGUAUGUUAACAUAAAAAGCUUCGUCGGUUAAUGAUGCUUGGUAUCCAUUAAAAUGUUAAUCAAAAUCACAAUAUUAAAAUGUUAAUCUAAAUCACAAUAUUAAAAUGUUAAUCAUAAUCACAAUAUCAAAAUG
rnacentral:lncRNA from 1 species